UACGAAGGGGGCUAGCGUUGCUCGGAAUUACUGGGCGUAAAGGGUGCGUAGGCGGUUAAAUAAGUUAGAUGUGAAAUCCCCAGGCUUAACCUGGGAACUGCGUUUAAUACUGUAUAACUAGAGUCCUGAAGAGGUUAGUGGAAUUUCCAGUGUAGCGGUGAAAUGCGUAGAUAUUGGAAGGAACACCAGUGGCGAAGGCGACUAACUGGUCAGAGACUGACGCUGAGGCACGAAAGCGUGGGGAGCAAACAGG
rnacentral:rRNA from 1 species